GGACUGUUGAUGAAUCCCAGGCUAGGAUGAAACGGCCGUCCAGUGC
rfam:Schistosoma curassoni strain Dakar, Senegal genome assembly, scaffold: SCTD_scaffold0009049